UGCAGUCGAGCGAAUGACGAGGAGCUUGCUCCUCUGAUUUAGCGGCGGACGGGUGAGUAACACGUGGGUAACCUGCCUGUAAGACGGGGAUAACUCCGGGAAACCGGAGCUAAUACCGGAUGAUAACGAGAAGCGCCUGCUUCUUUUUUGAAAGUCGGUUUCGGCUGACGCUUACAGAUGGGCCCGCGGCGCAUUAGCUGGUUGGUGAGGUAACGGCUCACCAAGGCGACGAUGCGUAGCCGACCUGAGAGGGUGAUCGGCCACACUGGGACUGAGACACGGCCCAGACUCCUACGGGAGGCAGCAGUAGGGAAUCUUCGGCAAUGGACGAAAGUCUGACCGAGCAACGCCGCGUGAGCGAUGAAGGCCUUCGGGUCGUAAAGCUCUGUUGUCAGAGAAGAACAAGUACCGGAGUAACUGCCGGUACCUUGACGGUACCUGACCAGAAAGCCACGGCUAACUACGUGCCAGCAGCCGCGGUAAUACGUAGGUGGCAAGCGUUAUCCGGAAUUAUUGGGCGUAAAGCGCGCGCAGGCGGUCUUUUAAGUCUGAUGUGAAAGCCCACGGCUCAACCGUGGAGGGUCAUUGGAAACUGGGAGACUUGAGUGCAGGAGAGAAAAGUGGAAUUCCACGUGUAGCGGUGAAAUGCGUAGAGAUGUGGAGGAACACCAGUGGCGAAGGCGGCUUUUUGGCCUGUAACUGACGCUGAGGCGCGAAAGCGUGGGGAG
rnacentral:rRNA from 1 species